AGACACCCUGAAACAAGAGGAAGGAUGUCAGAGAGAGAAUUCUAGUUUCUGUCAGCCAAGAGUGUUUCCAUGUUCCUGAUUAUCCACUCACAGGAGGACUUCUAAUGAGUUGACUACAGUAUGCAGUUACUGUAUACAGUACACAGUACAGUAUACAGUACAGUAUGCAGUUACUGUAUACUGUAUACAGUACUGUAUGCAGUACGUAGUACACACACUUAGGAAAUCACUUAGGUGAUUUCCUCUGAGAUUUCCAUAGGUUAUUAAUCAAAUUCCCAUUUCAGCUUACUGGUAAUAUUUUAGUAUCAUAAUAUGAAAUCUGUUUCUGAUUUUAUUCCCUAUCUUUCCAGAGAUGUUUUUGCAGUACAUUUCCAGGUUCCACCAAAGAAAACAUGAAGUGUUAGUAACUUCUCAAACCAUAUUCAUAGUGUGAACAAUGUCUUGUUUUGGGCCAGUGGGAAAAAGAUACUAAGUUACCAGUGCACAGGGCUGAGCACUUGCCUAAAACACGCUUCCUUUGUUGCUGCAAUAAAAACAAAACAGCAAGGAAGAUUUCUUCUUCAACAGUAAAGGAAUGCUAGGACUCCAGUAGUCACUUACCAGCUCAUGGUGUAUGGAGUUGACUGCUCACCUGUUCAAAAACUCUAUUAGCCUUGAGUUAGCAGGGGCUUUUAAAUUUUUACCUAUUAACUGGAAUUAUUCUACCCAUAAGAAAUUAUUGUUCUGCCUGCCAAAACCCAGAGACUGAUUUUAAUAGGAAAGAACAGCUUCUGCAGAUCAAACGCAGAUUUCUGGUUUUCCAAGGUAGGAUUACAUAGAGAUGACUGUUAAUAGUUCAAAGAUGCAAGACAAGCACCAACACGAGAUACAUGAAGCCCUGGUUAGGGCUUCCUCAUUUGUAUUUCCUCAUUUUAUUGAGGAAAUACAAAUCAGAAAGUAGGCAGUGAGUGUUAAGAUGGAAACUCAGUACCAUUAAGGAAGAAGCAAAGACUGACACUUCUGACUGAUACUCAAGGCAAGCAUUCUAAUAGCUUACUAAAUUCUGGCUGUUUAUUGUGCAUGUUAGAUGAUAAAUGAUGAUUUUAUACUUGUAAGCUGCAUAAAUCUUCUUUGCAGAUGUUGUUUAUUGGUAGAUUGCCCAAAUGGAGAGACCAAGAAAAGAGUUCCAGUAAUUCUGUCACCUAUUUUUUGUUGGAGUAUCAAUAUUAUGCUUUAAGUCUUUCAUUUCAGAUUUAUUCCUAGCUUUCAAACUCCUACAAUUUGUUUGUUCCCCCUUGCAUUUCUUACUGUUUUUUUUAAAGUUAUUGGUAUUGGAUCUAUUUCCACUGUCCGCCAUCACUAAAGCCAGAAGAACUACAAAUUACUUACAUAAUUCUAUAUUGCACAAUUCCUCCAUUCAGGUAAAAAAUUCAGUAAGUGAAUUUGACCUAAGAAUUUGAAAUCCUUGAACUCUGUAGUUUACUCAUUUAGCCAGUAACAAGGGACAAAAGCAAUCACUUGGAUUGCUGAAAACUCACUUUUAUAUUCUCAUAUUCCAGGACAGAGGGAUGGUUCUCCAGCUUCUGGUAUAUAUGAGGACUGAUAAGCUGGGCAAUUUCAGGGCGCAUGCGGUGCUGAAACACAAAACAGUUUUAUCAGUCUUGAGAAAGGAGCACCAUAAUUCCCUGUCAGUAUUCUUUUGCUCCACUGUACAGACCGUGGCUGAAUACAAGACAAGGAUGACUUUUCAAUAAGAGACAAGAAGGGAGCACUUCCCAAUCCCUACUCUCCCUCCUCACCCCAUUACUGACACCACCAACAACUGCAGGAGUGAUAGUAGAAGAACAUCUUCAAGAAAAUCUCUUGAUAAGGUUGUUGCAAAAUAAUGCUGGUUUCAGUGCAAAUCUAAGCACACUUAUAGAUAACAAAAGCCAGCACCUCACCCUAACUACUAAAUAAACUCUUUCAGGUACCUUUAACACAGGACUGCUGGUGGUAGAAUUAACUUCCCCAGGCACCAAGAUAAACAAUUAUAGCAAUUUAGCAGGAAGCAUCCUGAGAAGAAUUGUGCUGUUUCACUCUGCAAAGUUGUGGAAGUUUCAGUUGCCACAAUAAACCAUGUUUUUCACACAAAAACAUGAGAACCACAGUGCUGUGGACAAUAUCACUAAAUAACUGAAAAUAUGCUGGAACUCUGUAUCAGUUUGACAGCUCCCACCACUGUUUUCAGAAGUUAGUACAUUAUUUUCUUUUAGGCUGCUCUUACAGUAGAAAUAUAAACUUAAGUGUAUUAUAAACUUAAAACAACCUAAGUACAAAUGCCAUUUUUAUAGCUCUUUCUUACUUGGUAUUUCAGACAGACAAAGGGGAAAUCCACUUUGAUCAGACGUUCAAAGAGAGAGACUUCAAGGUUGAAGUUCUUGGCGAGGUCAUAAACAUUUGCACUAGGCUGCAGCUGAAAGAGAAGAGAUAGGAGGUCCAUGUUUUGGCACUUUUCCUAUGUGUUGACUGGAGAAUUUGUGGAAGCACUACCACUUGAAGUGUUCAAGGUCAGACUGGACAGAGCUUGGAGCAACCUGGCCUAGUGGAAGGUAUCCCUGUCCAUGGCAGGUACUCUUACCUUCUAAGAACUGAUCCAGGGCAUGGUUGGUGUAGCAGACUAUAAGGAUGGGACGCCUCCGGUAAGCGGUUUGCCACACAUGAUCAUUAGUCAAGAGAGCCUGAACAAUCUUCAAACCCACGUAUGUCUUCCCUGCAAGACAAGCUCAGAAUCAGAAGAACGUAAUCCACCCUCUAUGAGUGCCUCGAAACAUAGAAAUCAUCAAAAACAGAUACAAGAUUUCUUCCUAAACUGCCAAUCUGGUCUGUACCAAGAGAACUGACCCCAGGGGUAACUAGCUUACAAAAUGCAGACAAAGUAGCAUGACACUGACAUUCCAGCCUGUAGCUGAGCAAGGCCACAGUCUGCAAGAAUGUUGUUUUUUGGAUAAUACACCAGACCUGGACACAGGGUUCUCUCUCCCACGGCAUCCCCCAGCCCACUCUGAUACUGGCAUCAUAGAUGACAUUUGGCUGCACAUGAAACAUCCACAUACUACUGGAAUAAAAGCACUGGUGCCUGUUAAAUCCAGGUACCAUUUAAAACAAUUACAGUCCAUCUUGUAAUACUUUAUUCACACAAUGGUUCAUGGCUGAAUGUUCCCAAAGCCCUAACAUGCCAUGAAGACAAGUAGAAGAGUGCUGCACAGCAAGAAGGACCAAGUUCUCAAAGGCCAUUGUAAACUUUUUCACCCCAAUAUACAAGCACAGCCAACAGUGCAGUUGGUGUCUACUUGCAUCUAGGUGGGCAAAGAUCAGAUAUGGCUAUUUGAGGAUAUUUAACUGUCUCCACAGCUCACACUAACUGGGUGACUCAAGCAUCAAUCAUGCACAGGACUAAAGCUUUGGAGACAGUACAGCUGGCUUUCUCUGAAGUUAAUCUCCCGAUAUGGGGAAAUCAAGAACUUCUUAAAUUACAGAGCCUUUAAGCAAAUAUGUCUCACCAGUGCCAGGAGGUCCUUGGAUGAUAGCCAGCUCCUUGGUGAGUGCAAGAUUCAAUGCCUGCAUCUGAGAUUCAUCUAAUUGCAAAGCUUCCAUUGAAAGCCAUUGACUGGGAUCUAGAAUGUUGACACUUUUCAAGCUAUCAGGGCACUUCUCUUUACGUGAAGUCUUCGUCAAAGGUGCAAGGUUGUAGACAGUACCCCGUGUCAGGUAUGCUGGCUCCUUCACCUGUGCAUCACAUUCCACAAUGUACUUCUGGAAUGGGACAUCUUCUUCCCGCAUUUUCUGCAACCCUUCUAACACAUGCCGAUAGGCCUCAAAAUAGGCAGUUGUCUCUACCAUGAGGAAAGAGUCUGAGGGUUCAAACUCUCCCAGCAGUGGCUGGGUCUCUGCAUCAAAACACAGCUCCACAAUCCCAUUGACAAGUUCUGCAGCAUUACGAUUAGAAA